rnacentral:rRNA from 1 species
UGAGGAAUAUUGGUCAAUGGGCGAGAGCCUGAACCAGCCAAGUAGCGUGCAGGAUGACGGCCCUAUGGGUUGUAAACUGCUUUUAUGUGGGGAUAAAGUGCGUGACGUGUCAUGCAUUGCAGGUACCACAUGAAUAAGGACCGGCUAAUUCCGUGCCAGCAGCCGCGGUAAUACGGAAGGUCCGGGCGUUAUCCGGUUUUAUUGGGUUUAAAGGGAGCGUAGGCUGUCUAUUAAGCGUGUUGUGACAUUUACCGGCUCAACCGGUGGCUUGCAGCGCGAACUGGUCGACUUGAGUAUGCAGUAAGUAGGCGGAAUUCAUGGUGUAGCGUUGAAAUGCUUAGAUAUCAUGCCGAACUCCGAUUGCGCAGGCAGCUUACUGUAGCAUAACUGACGCUGAUGCUCGAAAGUGCGGGUAUCGAACAGG